rnacentral:rRNA from 1 species
AUGGCUAGUAAUUGGAGUUUCAGACAAUUUGGGGAGGUAAUUUGUAGCCAAUAUCCUUGGGGUUUGCUUGAUGAAGUGGUAUACAAAUACUAUGAUGGGGAAAAGAACUGGGUGACAGUUAGUAAUGAUGAAGAGCUAGCUACCAUGUUUGUUAGGCAUAAAAAGAAAGAUAAUUUUCAUGUGAGGCUGCAAGUUGAUGUGCUUGAGCAGGCAUUUGGACCUAGGAUGGCGGGUGCAACAUCUCGGGGAGAACCAAGUCGUCGUAAUGGCAUCUCUAGCCAGAACAGUUCAGUUGGUGCACGGCGACGUGGUGGCUCGACAAGUGUGGGCAACAGCAGUAGGGUCCCCCUUGAAGUGGAGCCUAAAUGGCUACAAUUCUGGGGUUGA